GUAUAGCUCAGUUGGUACAAUAUGAGACUCUUAAUCUCAGAGUCAUGGGUUCUAACCCCAUGUUGGGCA